ACGUCUGCUGCGAAGGUUCCACUGCAGACGCAAGAAGAAGGUCCUGGCACUUUCUGUCUGCCUGGUGGUGGCAGCCAAGAUUAAACGGGGAAUACGGGG
rnacentral:snoRNA from 1 species